rnacentral:rRNA from 1 species
AAGUAUAAAAUUAUUAAUUUUAUUUUUUUUUUUAUUAAUUAAUAUAAAUAAAUUUAUUUUUAUUUUUUUUUGUAUAGUGUAUAGAUUAAAUAAUUUUUAUUAUAGUAAAAUAGUAUUGUGGAAGAAUUUUGAAAAAUUAUUUAUUUAUUUGAAAGUAAAAUUGAAUUUUUGUACCUUUUGUAUCAGGGUUUAUUAAUAAAAAAUUAAGGAUUUAAUAUUCUCGAAUUUAAAGGAGCUAAUAAAUUAUGAUAGUUUUUGUUUUAUAACAAUUAUAAAUUAUUUAUUAGUAAUGAAAUGUUAUUCGUCUUUUAAGAUAUCUAGUUUUUUAAGAAAUAAAUUUAAUUUAUAUAUUAUUUAAAUAAUUAUUUUAUUUGAUAAUUAAUUAUUAUUUAAUAUAAAUAUAUUAAGGGAUAAGCUUUAAUAUAUUAAUUAUAAUUUUUUAUUAUAUUAUUAAUUGUAGAUUUAGAAAUGGUUAACAAUAAAAAUUUUGUAUUAAUUUAUAAAAAUAAUUAUAAUAUUUUUAAAAAUUUAAUUUUAAUAUUAAAAUUUAAAUUUAAAUAAUAAAAAUUUAGAAAUAAUGAUGUAAUUAGUAUAUAUGAUAGUUUAAAUAAAAGAAUUUAUUAAGAUUAAUUUAAGGAAUUCGGCAAAAUAAUAUUCACCUGUUUAACAAAAACAUGUCUUUUAGAUAAUAAUUUAAAGUCUGGCCUGCCCACUGAAUAUAAUUUAAAGGGCCGCGGUAUUUUGACUGUGCAAAGGUAGCAUAAUCAUUAGUCUUUUAAUUGAAGGCUUGUAUGAAUGGUUGGAUGAAAUAUUAACUGUCUCAGAUUAAUAAAAUAGAAUUUAAUUUUUAAGUUAAAAAGCUUAAAUAAUAUUAGAGGACGAGAAGACCCUAUAGAUUUUUAUAAUUUUUUAUUUAUAAAUAAUUUAGUUGAGAGAAAUUUUUAAGUGAAAAAUUAUUUUAUUGGGGUGAUAAAUAAAUUUAAAAAACUUUAUUGAAUAUAAACAUUAAUGUAUGAAUUAUUGAUCCAUUUUUAGUGAUUAUAAGAUUAAAUUACCUUAGGGAUAACAGCGUAAUUUUUUUAGAGAGUUCAUAUCGAUAAAAAAGUUUGCGACCUCGAUGUUGAAUUAAAGAUUAGUUUAGGUGUAGAAGUUUAAAUUUUUGGUCUGUUCGACCAUUGAAUCUUUACAUGAUUUGAGUUCAAACCGGCGUGAGCCAGGUUGGUUUUUAUCCUUAAUUAAUAAAGAUAUUUUAGUACGAAAGGACCAAAUAUUUAAAAAAUUUUUUCUGUUUAAGAAUAAUAUUAAUU